rnacentral:rRNA from 1 species
AUCCUGGCUCAGAACGAACGCUAGCGGCGCGUUUCAGGCAUGCAAGUCGAACGGUACCAGUCCCUUCGGGGAGCUGACGAGUGGCGCACGGGUGAGUAACGCGUAGGUAAUCUGCCGAGAGGUUUGGGAUAGCCCUACGAAAGUAGGAUUAAUACCGGAUAUACUUAUAUCUACUUAAGUAAAUAUAAGUAAAGAUUUUUCGCCUUUCGAUGAGCCUGCGUUAGAUUAGCUUGUUGGUAGGGUAAUAGCCUACCAAGGCGACGAUCUAUAGCCGAGUUGAGAGGCUGAUUGGCCACAUUGGAACUGAGACACGGUCCAGACUCCUACGGGAGGCAGCAGCUAAGAAUCUUCCGCAAUGGACGCAAGUCUGACGGAGCGACGCCGCGUGAAUGAUGAAGGCCUUUUGGGUUGUAAAAUUCUUUUAUGAGUGACGAAUGUUUGAUGUAGAUCAAUCUGACGGUAGCUCAUGAAUAAGGUCCGGCUAACUACGUGCCAGCAGCCGCGGUAAUACGUAGGGACCAAGCGUUGUUCGGAUUUAUUGGGCGUAAAGGGUACGUAGGCGGUUUUCUAAGUCAGAUGUGAAACCCUUGGGCUUAACCUGAGGCCUGCGUCUGAUACUGGGAGACUUGAGUUAUGGAGAGGAAGACGGAAUUCCUGGUGUAGGGGUGAAAUCUAUAGAUAUCAGGAAGAACAUCGAUUGCGAAGGCUGUCUUCUGGACAUUAACUGACGCUAAUGUACGAAAGUCAGGGUAGCAAACAGGAUUAGAGACCCUGGUAGUCCUGACUGUAAACGUUGUAUACUAGAUGGUGGGAGUAUUGAUCCUUUCACUGUCGCAGCUAACGCAUUAAGUAUACCGCCUGGGGAGUAUGCCGGCAACGGUGAAACUCAAAGGAAUUGACGGGGGCCCGCACAAGCAGUGGAGCAUGUUGUUUGAUUCGAUGAUACGCGAGAAACCUUACCAGGUCUUGACAUAUAUCUGAAUGGUGUAGAAAUACAUCAGUCCUUCGGGACGGGUUUACAGGUGCUGCAUGGUUGUCGUCAGCUCGUGCCGUGAGGUGUUGGGUUAAGUCCCGCAACGAGCGCAACCCCUAUUCUUUGUUGCUAACGCGUUAUGGCGAGCACUCUAAGGAGACUGCCGGUGACAAACCGGAGGAAGGUGGGGACGACGUCAAAUCAUCACGGCCUUUAUGACCUGGGCUACAAACGUGCUACAAUGGGCGGCACAAAGAGUUGCGAAGUCGCGAGGCAGAGCUAAUCUCAAAAAUCCGCCCUCAGUUCGGAUUGGAGUCUGAAACCCGACUCCAUGAAGCUGGAAUUGCUAGUAAUCGCACAUCAGCAUGGUGCGGUGAAUACGUUCCCGGGCCUUGUACACACCGCCCGUCACAUCACCCGAGUUGAUAUACCCGAAGUAGCCGGGCUAACCGCUUUUGCGGAGG